rnacentral:rRNA from 1 species
AAGUUAGUGGCAGACGGGUGAGUAACGCGUGGGAAUGUACCUUUUGGUUCGGAAUAACUACGGGAAACUGUAGCUAAUACCGGAUAAGCCCGUGAGGGGAAAGAUUUAUCGCCAAAAGAGCAGCCCGCGUUAGAUUAGGUAGUUGGUGGGGUAAAGGCCUACCAAGCCUACGAUCUAUAGCUGGUCUGAGAGGAUGAUCAGCCACACUGGGACUGAGACACGGCCCAG